AUUGAACGCUGGCGGCAGGCCUAACACAUGCAAGUCGAGCGGUAGAGAGAAGCUUGCUUCUCUUGAGAGCGGCGGACGGGUGAGUAAUGCCUAGGAAUCUGCCUGGUAGUGGGGGAUAACGUUCGGAAACGGACGCUAAUACCGCAUACGUCCUACGGGAGAAAGCAGGGGACCUUCGGGCCUUGCGCUAUCAGAUGAGCCUAGGUCGGAUUAGCUAGUUGGUGGGGUAAUGGCUCACCAAGGCGACGAUCCGUAACUGGUCUGAGAGGAUGAUCAGUCACUCUGGAACUGAGACACGGUCCAGACUCCUACGGGAGGCAGCAGUGGGGAAUAUUGGACAAUGGGCGAAAGCCUGAUCCAGCCAUGCCGCGUGUGUGAAGAAGGUCUUCGGAUUGUAAAGCACUUUAAGUUGGGAGGAAGGGCAGUAAAUUAAUACUUUGCUGUUUUGACGUUACCGACAGAAUAAGCACCGGCUAACUCUGUG
rnacentral:rRNA from 1 species